AGCGAACGCUGGCGGCAGGCCUAACACAUGCAAGUCGAACGAACCUUGCGGGGUUAGUGGCGGACGGGUGCGUAACACGUGGGAACGUGCCUUUAGGUUCGGAAUAACUCAGGGAAACUUGUGCUAAUACCGAAUGUGCCCUUCGGGGGAAAGAUUUAUCGCCUUUAGAGCGGCCCGCGUCUGAUUAGCUAGUUGGUUGAGGUAAUGGCUCACCAAGGCGACGAUCAGUAGCUGGUCUGAGAGGAUGAUCAGCCACAUUGGGACUGAGACACGGCCCAAACUCCUACGGGAGGCAGCAGUGGGGAAUCUUGCGCAAUGGGCGAAAGCCUGACGCAGCCAUGCCGCGUGAAUGAUGAAGGUCUUAGGAUUGUAAAAUUCUUUCACCGGGGACGAUAAUGACGGUACCCGGAGAAGAAGCCCCGGCUAACUUCGUG
rnacentral:rRNA from 1 species